UACGUAGGGUGCGAGCGUUUAAUCGGAAUUACUGGGCGUAAAGCGUGCGCAGGCGGUUUUGUAAGCCAGGUGUGAAAUCCCCGGGCUCAACCUGGGAAUGGCAUUUGGGACUGCAAGGCUGGAGUGCGGCAGAGGAGACUGGAAUUCCUGGUGUAGCAGUGAAAUGCGUAGAUAUCAGGAGGAACACCGAUGGCGAAGGCAGGUCUCUGGGCUGACACUGACGCUCAUGCACGAAAGCGUGGGGAGCGAAACAAGG
rnacentral:rRNA from 1 species